rnacentral:rRNA from 1 species
AGUAACGCGUGAGGAACCUGCCUCAAAGAGGGGGACAACAGUUGGAAACGACUGCUAAUACCGCAUAAGCCCACGGCUCGGCAUCGAGCAGAGGGAAAAGGAGUGAUCCGCUUUGAGAUGGCCUCGCGUCCGAUUAGCUAGUUGGUGAGGUAAAGGCUCACCAAGGCGACGAUCGGUAGCCGGACUGAGAGGUUGAACGGCCACAUUGGGACUGAGACACGGCCCAG